rnacentral:rRNA from 1 species
UGGAAAGAUGAAUCAAAGAAGGUAAUAAUCCUGUAGUCGAAAAUGUUGUCUCUCUUGAGUGGAUCCUGAGUACGACGGAGCACGUGAAAUUCCGUCGGAAUCUGGGAGGACCAUCUCCUAAGGCUAAAUACUCUCUAGUGACCGAUAGUGAACCAGUACCGUGAGGGAAAGGUGAAAAGCACCCCGGAAGGGGAGUGAAAUAGAACCUGAAACCGUGUGCUUACAAGUAGUCAGAGCCCGUUAAUGGGUGAUGGCGUGCCUUUUGUAGAAUGAACCGGCGAGUUACGAUUUGAUGCAAGGUUAAGCAGUAAAUGUGGAGCCGUAGCGAAAGCGAGUCUGAAUAGGGCGUUUAGUAUUUGGUCGUAGACCCGAAACCAGGUGAUCUACCCUUGGUCAGGUUGAAGUUCAGGUAACACUGAAUGGAGGACCGAACCGACUUACGUUGAAAAGUGAGCGGAUGAACUGAGGGUAGCGGAGAAAUUCCAAUCGAACCUGGAGAUAGCUGGUUCUCUCCGAAAUAGCUUUAGGGCUAGCCUCAAGUGAUGAUUAUUGGAGGUAGAGCACUGUUUGGACGAGGGGCCCCUCUCGGGUUACCGAAUUCAGACAAACUCCGAAUGCCAAUUAAUUUAACUUGGGAGUCAGAACAUGGGUGAUAAGGUCCGUGUUCGAAAGGGAAACAGCCCAGACCACCAGCUAAGGUCCCAAAAUAUAUGUUAAGUGGAAAAGGAUGUGGCGUUGCCCAGACAACUAGGAUGUUGGCUUAGAAGCAGCCAUCAUUUAAAGAGUGCGUAAUAGCUCACUAGUCGAGUGACACUGCGCCGAAAAUGUACCGGGGCUAAACAUAUUACCGAAGCUGUGGAUUGUCCUUUGGACAAUGGUAGGAGAGCGUUCUAAGGGCGUUGAAGCAUGAUCGUAAGGACAUGUGGAGCGCUUAGAAGUGAGAAUGCCGGUGUGAGUAGCGAAAGACGGGUGAGAAUCCCGUCCACCGAUUGACUAAGGUUUCCAGAGGAAGGCUCGUCCGCUCUGGGUUAGUCGGGUCCUAAGCUGAGGCCGACAGGCGUAGGCGAUGGAUAACAGGUUGAUAUUCCUGUACCACCUAUAAUCGUUUUAAUCGAUGGGGGGACGCAGUAGGAUAGGCGAAGCGUGCGAUUGGAUUGCACGUCUAAGCAGUAAGGCUGAGUAUUAGGCAAAUCCGGUACUCAUUAAGGCUGAGCUGUGAUGGGGAGAAGACAUUGUGUCUUCGAGUCGUUGAUUUCACACUGCCGAGAAAAGCCUCUAGAUAGAAAAUAGGUGCCCGUACCGCAAACCGACACAGGUAGUCAAGAUGAGAAUUCUAAGGUGAGCGAGCGAACUCUCGUUAAGGAACUCGGCAAAAUGACCCCGUAACUUCGGGAGAAGGGGUGCUCUUUAGGGUUAACGCCCAGAAGAGCCGCAGUGAAUAGGCCCAAGCGACUGUUUAUCAAAAACACAGGUCUCUGCUAAACCGUAAGGUGAUGUAUAGGGGCUGACGCCUGCCCGGUGCUGGAAGGUUAAGAGGAGUGGUUAGCUUCUGCGAAGCUACGAAUCGAAGCCCCAGUAAACGGCGGCCGUAACUAUAACGGUCCUAAGGUAGCGAAAUUCCUUGUCGGGUAAGUUCCGACCCGCACGAAAGGCGUAACGAUUUGGGCACUGUCUCAACGAGAGACUCGGUGAAAUCAUAGUACCUGUGAAGAUGCAGGUUACCCGCGACAGGACGGAAAGACCCCGUGGAGCUUUACUGUAGCCUGAUAUUGAAAUUCGGCACAGCUUGUACAGGAUAGGUAGGAGCCUUUGAAACGUGAGCGCUAGCUUACGUGGAGGCGCUGGUGGGAUACUACCCUAGCUGUGUUGGCUUUCUAACCCGCACCACUUAUCGUGGUGGGAGACAGUGUCAGGCGGGCAGUUUGACUGGGGCGGUCGCCUCCUAAAAGGUAACGGAGGCGCUCAAAGGUUCCCUCAGAAUGGUUGGAAAUCAUUCAUAGAGUGUAAAGGCAUAAGGGAGCUUGACUGCGAGACCUACAAGUCGAGCAGGGUCGAAAGACGGACUUAGUGAUCCGGUGGUUCCGCAUGGAAGGGCCAUCGCUCAACGGAUAAAAGCUACCCCGGGGAUAACAGGCUUAUCUCCCCCAAGAGUUCACAUCGACGGGGAGGUUUGGCACCUCGAUGUCGGCUCAUCGCAUCCUGGGGCUGUAGUCGGUCCCAAGGGUUGGGCUGUUCGCCCAUUAAAGCGGUACGCGAGCUGGGUUCAGAACGUCGUGAGACAGUUCGGUCCCUAUCCGUCGUGGGCGUAGGAAAUUUGAGAGGAGCUGUCCUUAGUACGAGAGGACCGGGAUGGACAUACCUCUGGUGUACCAGUUGUCGUGCCAACGGCAUAGCUGGGUAGCUAUGUGUGGACGGGAUAAGUGCUGAAAGCAUCUAAGCAUGAAGCCCCCC